rnacentral:lncRNA from 1 species
ACUGAUCUCAUCCUCUGGGAGGUAAUUCAUUAUACAUAUGUUGUAAACUCUGAAGCACUUGGCUGAUGACAAGAGUGGUCAAUUAUCUCCAAACUCAGUUCCAGCACCUAAACAACUCAAGUACACAGCUGGCAUAGCCAAUGGUCUAGUCAAAGAAUCCACUACCUUUCUAAACCAGAAUCAAAAGGUUUGUUUCUUAAUUCUUUUUUUCUUUGCAUAUGUCUCGAC